rnacentral:rRNA from 1 species
CCUUUGUACACACCGCCCGUCGCUACUACCGAUUGAAUGGUUAUAGUGAGCAUAUGGGAUCCGUGGAGGCCGACUGGCAACAGUCAGCUUCUGCAGAGAACUAUGGCAAACUAGGCUAUUUAGAGG